rnacentral:rRNA from 1 species
GUGGGGAAUCUUAGACAAUGGGCGCAAGCCUGAUCUAGCCAUGCCGCGUGAGCGAUGACGGCCUUAGGGUUGUAAAGCUCUUUCGUGGGGGAAGAUAAUGACUGUACCCCAAGAAGAAGCCCCGGCUAACUCCGUGCCAGCAGCCGCGGUAAUACGGAGGGGGCUAGCGUUGUUCGGAAUUACUGGGCGUAAAGCGCACGUAGGCGGACUGGAAAGUCAGGGGUGAAAUCCCGGGGCUCAACCCCGGAACUGCCUUUGAAACUCCCAGUCUUGAGUUCGAGAGAGGUGAGUGGAAUUCCGAGUGUAGAGGUGAAAUUCGUAGAUAUUCGGAGGAACACCAGUGGCGAAGGCGGCUCACUGGCUCGAUACUGACGCUGAGGUGCGAAAGCGUGGGGAGCAAACAGGAUUAGAAACCCGAGUAGUCC